CAUCCACCAACACCAUCGAUGCUGUCCAUCUCCUCUUCGCCAAACCAGAUAGUGCCGUUCACCUGAGAACCAAAAGCUAUGACUUCUUCCUCCAUCAGGCUUUGAUGGUGACGGCAUCCUCCAUUAUCACCAUUAAGCUCGACGUCCUCCAGUACUUCAUCGUCGUCUUUCACCAUUCGUCCAGCUCUAAACCCCACGCAAUCACUCGACUUCUCUCCUUCUCAAAUAAUAGCUUGGUGUCGCUGACUUAUUCCACUCCUCUUCUCUGUUUCAAUAUGUUGCUGUUUGUGCUUCAGUCUUCGGUGACCAUCAUUUUCCUUGUCUUUGCAACUGUUGUCCCUUCCAGGUAAGUUUUAUAUAUGGUUUUUGGUCCCCUAAUCUUUCUUUUUCAUUCAAUAGGUAAUGAUUUCAAACCUUACUUCCUUUUGCUAUAUUGGAUGGAUGAGAGUUGAGGAUACAUUUUCUGGUUGGUUGUGGAAGUUUUAGUCUACAGCUGUGAGACCUUUUCUUGCUCCAAGACUAGCAUUUCUCUUCUUGUCACAACCUUUGUCCUUUAAGUGAAAAUAUAAAUGGUUGCCACAAUAUGAUCAUGCUAUUAAGAAAUUUUGGAAUGCAAAGUGUGCAGAAAUUUUGAGAAAUACAAUGCAUACUAGUAGGCAAGACUUGUAUAAAAAACAAGUUAGGGCUAAGUGGAUUUUGCGUCAAGUGAUGAACGAGUUAGAGAGAAUAUGGGUAUCAGAAGAUUAUAAAGCUAAGUGUGAGAUUGUUAAGGCUAAUCGAGCCUCAACCACAGGAGGCACUCAACACAAAGGUGGAAAUAUUUCUAAUACUGAGCAUAAGAGGAGACUGGCUUUGGAGUUAGGAAGAGAUCCUUCUAUGUUUGAAUUGUUCAAGAUGACACAUUUAAAUGAUAAAAC